UACGUAGGUCCCCGAGCGUUGUCCGGAUUUAUUGGGCGUAAAGCGAGCGCAGGCGGUUUGAUAAGUCUGAAGUUAAAGGCUGUGGCUCAACCAUAGUUCGCUUUGGAAACUGUCAAACUUGAGUGCAGAAGGGGAGAGUGGAAUUCCAUGUGUAGCGGUGAAAUGCGUAGAUAUAUGGAGGAACACCGGUGGCGAAAGCGGCUCUCUGGUCUGUAACUGACGCUGAGGCUCGAAAGCGUGGGGAGCGAACAGGAUUAGAUACCCCGGUAGU
rnacentral:rRNA from 1 species